UGGCUCAGAGCGAACGUUAGCGGCGGGCCUAACACAUGCAAGUCGCACGAGAAAAGGGCUUCGGCCCCCAGUAAAGUGGCGGACGGGUGAGUAACACGUGGGUAAUCUGCCCUUCGAUGGGGGAUAACAGUCCGAAAGGAUUGCUAAUACCGCAUUCGUCGGCGGGGACUUCGGUUCCUGUCGGGAAAGCCGACCUCUUCAUGAAAGUUGGCGUCGGAGGAUGAGCCCGCGGCCCAUCAGCUAGUUGGUGAGGUAAUGGCUCACCAAGGCUAAGACGGGUAGCUGGUCUGAGAGGAUGAUCAGCCACACUGGGACUGAGACACGGCCCAGACUCCUACGGGAGGCAGCAGUGGGGAAUAUUGGGCAAUGGGCGCAAGCCUGACCCAGCCACGCCGCGUGAGUGAUGAAGGCCUUCGGGUCGUAAAGCUCUGUGGGGAGGGACGAAACCUGCUUGGCUAAUAUCCAAGUAGCUGACGGUACCUCCUUAGCAAGCACCGGCUAACUCCGUGCCAGCAGCCGCGGUAA
rnacentral:rRNA from 1 species